AUAAUACGUUUAGGGUUUCAUACUUUCAUUCUUUAUCCGCCCCCAUCUUUCCUUCCCUCUUCUCUCUCCUUCGUUUUCCAGAAACCCUAAAAUCGCAAGGCCACUUCCCCCGGUACAAGAGCUUCGGUGUAGUUACAGUCUGUGGAAAAAAGAUCCAGAUGAAUAUGGAGCGGUGGAGAUACACGAGCCAGAAGGAUGAAGCUUUGCAGAUCUGAGUUUUUAGCGACAUUCAAGAACGAUACAAACAAAAUUCUUGCGUCAAUCAGAAGGAUGAAGCUUCGGUGUAGUUGAAAGCAGAUGAAGAUGGCAAGCAAAACUUUGCAGAUCUAAGACUUUUUCUUUCUCUAAUAACUUUGCAGGAAACAAGCAGAGCUAGGGAAGAUGACAAGCCCGGAUCUGAUAGGUUUGCUUCGGUAUAGUUGCAAUCGGUGGAUAAAGAUGGAAAUCAGAUGAAGAUGGAGUGAUGUAGAUGACAAGCAAAAUAUUGCCUCUAUCUGAGGCAGAGGUUAUACGUGAAGGUAGUGACAUAACUCUUGUUGGCUGGGGAGCUCAGCUCACUACCAUGGAACAAGCUUGUGU